rnacentral:rRNA from 1 species
UGGGGAAUCUUGGACAAUGGGCGCAAGCCUGAUCCAGCCAUGCCGCGUGAGUGAAGAAGGCCUUCGGGUUGUAAAGCUCUUUUACCAGGGACGAUAAUGACGGUACCUGGAGAAUAAGCCCCGGCAAACUUCGUGCCAGCAGCCGCGGUAAUACGAAGGGGGCUAGCGUUGUUCGGAAUUACUGGGCGUAAAGCGCACGUAGGCGGAUUGUUAAGUCAGAGGUGAAAUCCCGGAGCUCAACUUCGGAACUGCCUUUGAUACUGGCAAUCUCGAGUCCGGAAGAGGUUAGUGGAAUUCCCAGUGUAGAGGUGAAAUUCGUAGAUAUUGGGAAGAACACCAGUGGCGAAGGCGGCUAACUGGUCCGGUACUGACGCUGAGGUGCGAAAGCGUGGGGAGCAAACAGGAUUAGAUACCCAAGUAGUCCCUGAGCGGGCUGGCAAGGCGCAU